rnacentral:rRNA from 1 species
CAGCCGCCACGGGAAUACGUAGGGUGCAAGCGUUGUCCGGAAUUAUUUGGCGUAAAGAGCUCGUAGGCGGUUUGUCGCGUCUGCUGUGAAAACGCGAGGCUCAACCUCGCGCCUGCAGUGGGUACGGGCAGACUAGAGUGUGGUAGGGGAGAUUGGAAUUCCUGGUGUAGCGGUGGAAUGCGCAGAUAUCAGGAGGAACACCGAUGGCGAAGGCAGAUCUCUGGGCCAUUACUGACGCUGAGGAGCGAAAGCGUGGGGAGCGAACAGGAUUAGAUACCCCUGUAGUCCCUGUCUCUUAUAC